rnacentral:rRNA from 1 species
AUUGAACGCUGGCGGCAGGCCUAACACAUGCAAGUCGAACGGUAACAGGAAGAAGCUUGCUUCUUUGCUGACGAGUGGCGGACGGGUGUGUAAUGUCUGGGAAACUGCCUGAUGGAGGGGGAUAACUACUGGAAACGGUAGCUAAUACCGCAUAACGUCGCAAGACCAAAAAGGGGGACCUUCGGGCCCCUUUCCAUCGGAUGUGCCCAGAUGCGAUUAGCUUGUAGGUGGUGUAACGGCUCACGUAGGCGACGAUGUUGAGCUCUUCCGAGGGGAUGACCAGCCACACUGAAACUGAGACACGGUCCAGACUCCUACGGGAGGCAGGAGGGGGAAUAUUGGAAAAUGGGCGCAAGCCUAAUGCAGCCAUGCCGCGUGUAUGAGGAAGGCCUUCGGGUUGUAAAGUACGUUCAGCGGGGAGGAAGGGAGUAAAGUUAAUACCUUCACUAAUUGACGUUACCCGCAGAAGAAGCAACGGCUAACUACGUG